rnacentral:pre_miRNA from 1 species
UAGGUCAGAGGGCUCUCAAUAUGUCUAUCGCUCCACCAUCGAGAGCCUUCUGACUCACU